rnacentral:rRNA from 1 species
GACGAACGCUGGCGGCGUGCCUAACACAUGCAAGUCAAAGGAAAGCAACUUCGGUUGUAAGUACUUGGCGCAAGGGUGAGUAAUGUAUAGGUAAUCUGCCCUUAGGACUGGCAUAACCUCGAGAAAUCGAGGACAAUACCAGAUGAUGCAGCAGGACCGCAUGGUCAUGUUGUUAAAGAUUUAUCGCCUAAGGAUGAACCUAUAUCCCAUCAGGUAGUUGGCAGGAUAAUAGCCUACCAAGCCUACGACGGGUAGCUGGUCUGAGAGGAUGAUCAGCCACAUUGGAACUGAGACACGGUCCAGACUCCUACGGGAGGCAGCAGUGAGGAAUAUUGCGCAAUGGGCGAAAGCCUGACGCAGCAACGCCGCGUGGAUGAUGAAGUUCUUCGGAAUGUAAAGUCCUUUUGUAGAGGAAGAACACGUCGGUUUACCGGCACUGACGGUACUCUGCGAAUAAGCCACGGCUAACUCUGU